AGUGAACGUUGGCGGCGUGGAUUAGGCAUGCAAGUCGAGCGAGAACCGUAGCAAUACGGGGACAGCGGCGAAAGGGACAGUAAUGUGUAGGUACCUACCCCGAGGUCUGGGAUAGCUGCGGGAAACUGCAGGUAAUACCGGAUAAUGUCUUCGGACCAAAGGUGUGAUUCCACCUUGGGAGGGGCCUGCAUCCUAUUAGCUUGUUGGCGGGGUAACGGCCCACCAAGGCAACGAUGGGUGGCGGGUGUGAGAGCACGACCCGCGUCAUUGGGACUGAGAUACUGCCCAGACACCUACGGGUGGCUGCAGUCGAGGAUCUUCGGCAAUGGGCGAAAGCCUGACCGAGCGACGCCGCGUGCGGGAUGAAGGCCUUCGGGUUGUAAACCGCUGUCGUAGAGGAGGAAAUGCAGGGGGGUUCUCCCCUCUGUUUGACCUAUUCUAGGAGGAAGGACGGGCUAAGUUCGUGCCAGCCGCCGCGGUAA
rnacentral:rRNA from 1 species